rnacentral:rRNA from 1 species
AUUGAACGCUGGCGGAAUGCUUUACACAUGCAAGUCGAGCGGCAGCGCGGGGGCAACCCUGGCGGCGAGCGGCGAACGGGUGAGUAAUAUAUCGGAACGUACCCCGUCGUGGGGGAUAACACAGCGAAAGCUGUGCUAAUACCGCAUACGACCUGAGGGUGAAAGCGGGGGAUCGCAAGACCUCGCGCGAUGGGAGCGGCCGAUAUCGGAUUAGGCUUGUUGGUGAGGUAAAGGCUCACCAAGGCGACGAUCCGUAGCUGGUCUGAGAGGACGACCAGCCACACUGGAACUGAGACACGGUCCAGACUCCUACGGAGGCAGCAGUGGGGAAUUUUGGACAAUGGGGGCAACCCUGAUCCAGCCAUUCCGCGUGAGUGAAG